AGCAGUCUCGUCAAAUUCAGUACUGCCUGCUUCCUGGCAACUACUGGCCCAAAUGGCUGCCACAUAAACCAUGGAUCAUGGGCCCCACUUUCAUAUUCCUUUGGGAUUUGGGGAUAAAUGAAUCCAUAACAGCG